rnacentral:rRNA from 1 species
AGGACGAACGCUGGCGGCGUGCUUAACACAUGCAAGUCGAGCGGAAAGGCCCUUCGGGGUACUCGAGCGGCGAACGGGUGAGUAACACGUGAGCAACCUGCCCUUAGCUUCGGGAUAGCUCCGGGAAACCGGAAUUAAUACCGAAUAUGACUUUGGCUGACAUCAGCAGAAGUGGAAAGUUUUUCGGCUAGGGAUGGACUCGCGGCCUAUCAGCUAGUUGGUGAGGUAACGGCCCACCGAAGGCGACGACGGGUA